UGUGUGUGUGUGUGUGUGUGUGCGCGCCGAUGUUUCCUGUAGACAGAGAGGCGUGUUUGGGUUCCUGAGUUCACUGCUGGGCCUGUUUCAGGGUCGGUUUUAUUGUUUAUGUACACAGUACUGCAUGUGAUAAAAAAGGAGGUACUGCUGCAACCAUGGAUGCCCCCAGUCAGAUAUUUGCUGACAACACUUUUGGUAUAGAUAUUGAUAAUCAAUUAGAUUGUCAGAUUGUAAGUCACAAAAAGUUUUCAAAAGCAAAAAAUAACAAAAAUUUUACUUCCAAUAUGUAAAUAUUUAUUUGAAUCUCAACUGUUUGGCGUGGAUGCUGUUUUUAAAUGAAAAGAAUAAUUAAUAGAACCGGUAGAUUUACCCAUAAUGUUAAUAAACAUCCGUUGCAGCUCCUAAUAUGGUCCCAAUUAACCAGCACAUCUUGUGCACGAGAGCACAUGAAAUAACAUUGCGAGCCAAACCUGCAGGGCUUUCUACUGCAGCUUGGGAAGUGGCGACUGUGGGAUGAGUCCGAACUCUCUGCAAAAUGUCUGAGUACUUGUCCUAAUGCGACUGUUUCUCCCGGGUCAGACGUGAACCUCUGCGAGCGCCGCGUAACAGAUGUUUGUUACGGCAGCACCGCGUCACUUUUUCACAUUUGGGUGAGAGGGCUGGAGGGACGCUAAGCCUGUUGACAGAUGGGUAUCGCACCGUCAUACGCUUAUGUUUUCUCCAUCUCACCAUGCCAACUGCGUCACAAGCGCGCGCGCGUGUGUGUGUGCUUCUUGUGGGGUGGUUGUUAUGCUUUAGGUUGAUUCUUUUCACCCAGAGCACCAGCAAAACAAGUCUUUGAGACACAGUGGUGGUUUAUUCAUGUGACCCUUUGACUUGAACUGCAGCACUGUGUGCGUGUUGCAGUUUCCAUGGCGCCCUCAAGCCAAUAAAUAUAAAAAGAACUGUGUGUUAGCCGUGUGAUAGAUUUGUGAUUUGUGCGCUAGUCUUGCCCAAUGCAUGCUGGGAAGCGAUCCAGCUCCCUGCGAUCCCAAACAUAAGAUAAGCAGUUCCAGAAGUGGACAGAUGUGCAUUUAUCGUCCCGUAAAAUAUAAUGUCAUAGUUAAAUCGUGAUAGUGGCAGCCCUCUGACCAGUUUGUGGAUUAUUAGCCGGGGAAGUGAUGGUUUCUUUUCCUACAGCCGAGCGAAGGCGCCUUUGAGCCCAGCUGUCAACCCUCCAACCACCGACACCAAAAUUAAUAAGCGGAUGCUGAGACCGUGCGCACUAAAUGACUAAAUGAAGGCUCAGACGUACCGUGCAUGUUUGUAAUGUAGAGAGAAUUGGAACAUGAGAAUACAAAUCAUGUGCAGGUCAGCAGGUCCAGAGGGGAGAAAGAAAGCCCUGAACACACACACACACACACACACGCACACACACACACACCUACUCUCUGUCUCAUUAGUCUGAUAUUGGCAAAUUCCCAUUUGCAUGUGUGUAGAUCUGCACAUGUGCAUGGCUGUGCUCCGUAGGACUAUAUAUAUAUAUAUAUAUAUAUAAAUACAUGGACCAUAGAUACAUGUGUGUGUGGGCGUGCACGCUCGCGGCAGGGUCCUGGCCUGUUUCUUUCCAGGUGUGUGCUUUUGGCCGAAGGGGAGCAGCAGAUGGUGCCUAUAUACAUGUGUGUGUGUGUGUGUGUGUGUGUGUGUGUAUAACUGAGUGGUUGUCAGUAACAUCUCCCUGGCCAAAGAUCUGUUUUCAGCAGCACACACUGCUGUUAAAGGUCCGGGUCGGGACCCAGAGGAGCUGUGCAGUCAGUUUAAAAAGGGGACGAUGAACGGGGGGGCACAGUUGAUCAUUCUAGAAACAAAACGUUUUGUAGGUAGCAAUUAGCAAGAGGCAACAUGUAGAGGGAACAACAUUCUAAAAGAAGAAAUGAGUACAGCACUAGUUUGAAUGUCUAAAUGUUAAAACAAGGCUAAUUCUAUCUCACCAAACCCACCAUGAAUGAACACUGAAGACUGUUCACACAGAUAAAGCUAUGGAGGUUUUCAUUCUUGCGUUUGCUGACUAGUUUUAAAGCGAUUUGGCUCACUUUAGGUUGUUCCUGUAAGGGGAGAGCGUGGAUCAGAUGGUGUGUCCCACGGGUCCCGUGUCCACUGACCUGUGGAUGACAUCACUGUCUCCAGGGUUACCCAAAUGACUGCUGUGCAUCCAUUUAAAAAAGCAAACAUGCUUUAUUUCAUACAGUGGCCAAGGAUGCAUAUUUAAAACAUGGCAACUUUCCAAAUUCUCCACCAUUGAGAUGCUUGCAAAUGAAUGUGUGCUGAGCAUGUGGUGGGUACUUCAGGGUCCCGGGGAAACCAGCAUUUGCCACAGACAACCCUGAAUUCUCAGUAGCUCCUGAGAUAUUUAUCAGCAACAUGUCAGAGCUGUUGCUCAGGAAUUGUGUUCACAUUUUUUGUCAACGGUGUAAAAGUUACAGAUUUAUACCUUUGGAAAUACUUUUUAUAUUGCAUAUAAGGGAUAGUUUUUUUUAAAUUUUCCUAGUGGUUUUAGUUAGUUUAGUCCAACACCACUAUGCUGUGUUUGCUUUAUUUGAAAUGCAGCGGUUCACAUUUUGCCAUCGACUAUCCAUCUGGUUGAUAAUUUAGCCCCUUAAAAUGUUCAUCCAGUGUGAGUUAUGGGAUUACAGCAAUACAACGGACAUCUGUUUUUCUAGACUCAUUAUUAGUGGAGAUCCCUUCACCCCGAGCCUCUUGGAUUUACUUCAUCCAAAAGGAAGUCCCAUCGAUUCCCGCUUUCCGACAAAGCACAUUAAUUCCAGUGAGCUUUUUUCUUUUGGAAAGGCCUUAAUCAC
ensembl:lncRNA